rnacentral:lncRNA from 1 species
AAACCUUUCUCUUCUAUUCUAAUGAAUGAAAGAAAAUAUAAUAAAACUUAGAAAUAAAUUCAUCCUAUUCUUAACCUCGAUAUUUCUUUUUUAUCUAUUAAAAAAGAAGAUAAAGAUUUUUCUUUAUAUAUAUAUAUAUAUAUAUAUGAAGAUUAUGUGUUCUCGUGAGACUAGAAUUGAGAUUGCGUUACGUGCGGUGAGAAAGUACGUUGAAAAAAUAUUCUGUUUAUUUCUGUAUGUAAUAUUGCGUUCCACAUAUCGCGAUAAGUCGGUUACGAUAUAUUUUCUGCUGUCCAACCGGAGAACGCAGAAGGAUAUCCCUAUAUGCUUUUUCUUGAACUCCAUUUUAUCUAAUAGCGUUAGAUAGACAUCAAUACCAAACUAAACCUAAGCUACCGUUUGAUUCGGGGUUAAGGAAAAACUAAUUAUUCCAGGAAUAGGUUUAAGUUCAGGGUUAAGGUGGGGUUAGAGUAUUUUUAUAUUUGGUUGGGGGUUGGAGUUAGUUCAGGAUAGUAAAAAAUAAUGUUUGGUUGGAGUAGGUGGGAUAAGAAGGAUAGUGGGUUACUAUGAAUAGAAAAUAGUGUUUGGUUGGAGUUUUGUGGAGUUAGGUGGAAUUAGCUAAUCCGGGAUAGCCCAUUUGAGGUGGGAUUAGCUAACCCCACCCAUUUUU